UACGGAGGGUGCAAACGUUGCUCGGAAUCAUUGGGCGUAAAGCGCACGUAGGUGGUUUGUUAAGUCGGGUGUGAAAGCCCUGGGCUCAACCCAGGAAGUGCACUCGAAACUGGCAGACUUGAGUACUGAAGAGGGUCGCGGAAUUCCCGGUGUAGAGGUGAAAUUCGUAGAUAUCGGGAGGAACACCUGUGGCGAAAGCGGCUCACUGGACCAUAACUGACGCUGAUGCACGAAAGCUGGGGGGAGCAAACAGG
rnacentral:rRNA from 1 species